UGAUCUUCGAGUUAUCGAUAAGCAAGUUUAACAACGUAUUACCGUAUAGUACAGGAGAUAAUUGCGCGCGAACUGGUGCUAAGAUACCGUAUUCCGUCUUUCACAAUUAGACCUCAUAUAAUUUGAUGGUUCUCGUCAUUAUUUAUGGUGCACUACGGACAAACGUAGGAUAAUUGAACAAUCAUACUAUAAUCAUUCUACG